GCCGCUGCCGCCGUCUACACCAUCUACAUGGGCAAGGACAAGUACGAGAGUUCCACGUGGACAAACUCUCCUCAGCCCACGUCUACCUGCGGCUGCACCAGGGCCAGACCAUGGACGACAUCCCCAA